CGAACUGUCUUCUUCUUCUUGUAACCUGUUCCACUUUGUAUGGCUUUUAAGUUGUUCGCUCCUUUCUUCUACUAAUUCCUGCCUGAAGAAGACGUGGAGGAAUGCUUGAAGGCCAUGAUAAACUAUUAAGCCUGUAUAAACUCCGCCUUCACUCGUAGGUGGUCAACGAACUGUCUUCUUCUUCUUCUUCUUGUAACCUGUUCCACUUUGUAUGGCUUUUAAGUUGUUCGCUCCUUUCUUCUAUCACGUGGAGGAACACUUGGAGGCCAUGAUAAACUAAAUAGGCUCUAUAAACUCCACUGUAGCGCACGGCCGUCUACGCACACAUGGUAGUCUUCUUCUUCUUCUUGUAACCUGUUCCACUUUGUAUGGCUUUUAGGCUGUCCACUCCUUCCUUCAAUCACUCCCUGUUUGGUAAGUUUCAACAAUUAUCUUUUCUUACCCCGAUUGACUUAUUUAACCUUUCCUUUCCGCUGGCUUCUCUCAUCCAACUUCGAAGGUAAACACUAAUAGCCUCCUCCAUUUAGCGUAAUCCGUUUUUGGGUCGUGAUCUGUAGCGUCCCAUAUAGAGUCCCGACUACCUAAGAUUUGGACGCCAUUAUUGUGCCUGUUUUCACCGUGCUUUUCAACGCUAUCACAUGCUCUCGCGGCGAAGGCCCAAUAAUGCCGUCCAAAUCUUAGGCUGUUGGGAGUCUAUCUAUCAAGGGACUCUAUAGAAACAGGUUACGCUAAAUGGAAGAUGCUAUAUAUACGCAACGUUCAAGCUGGGCGCUACGGACCAUGCAUACGCGGGUUUUCAUCUGCGUUCGGCGGGGCAGGGCGGGGCGGGGCGAGGGCUGGGGUGUCGCAAUUACCCUACCCGUAUAUAAGCGAGUCCCUGAACAGUGAGGGCCGUCUGUAAGCAAGAAUUAAUAUACAAAGGAAAUGUUUAUGACGAUACUAAUAAUAAUGAUAAUAAUGAUGGUGAAGAUGAGUUAAUGCAAGGCCAAACCAUCAUCAUCAUCAUCAUACAACAUUGUGAUCAUUAAAAGACGGGCGGUAUGUGGUCACGUACACACACACACGCACACACACACACACACACACACACACACAUCUUCUCUUUCUCUCCUCCUCCUUUCCUCUCCUUUUCUCUCUUCUCCUCCUCCUCCUCCUCCUCCUCCAUUUCUGCUUUUUUCUCUCCUCCUCCUCUCCUUUUCUCUCUUUUUCUCCUCCUCCUUUUCUGCUUUUUUCUCUCCUCCUCCUCUCCUUUUCUCUCUUUUUCUCCUCCUCCUUUUCUGCUUUUUUCUCUCCUCCUCCUCUCCUUUUCUCUCUUUUCCUCCUCCUCCUCCUCCUCCUUUUCUGCUUUUUUCUCUCCUCCUCCUCCUCCUUUUCUCUCUUUUCCUCCUCCUCCUCCUCCUCCAUUUCUGCUUUUUUCUCUCCUCCUCCUCUCCUUUUCUCUCUUUUUCUCCUCCUCCUCCUCCUUUUCUCUUUCCUUCCUUCUCUGUCUUCUCUUCCUCCUUUC